CACACACACACUUCAAAAUACACGUUCACAUUUCAACACAUUCACUACACACUGACAGAAGAGGUAAAAGACUACUCUAGACAGCCAACAGUCCUUAGAUGGACUUUAAAAUAAGAGGUAAAAUACUACUCUAGACAGCCAACAGUCCUUAGAUGGACUUUACAAUAAGAGGUAAAAGACUACUCUAGACAGCCAACAGUCCUUAGAUGGACUUUUACAAUAAGAGGUAAAAGACUACUCUAGACAGCCAACAGUCCUUAGAUGGACUUUUACAAUAAGAGGUAAAAGACUACUCUAGACAGCCAACAGUCCUUAGAUGGACUUU